AGUAGGCUUGGCUACCGUCCUCCCCUCCCCCCAACGACCCGCACCCUUCGGUCUGGACCAGCCGCCCAAAUCAUGCCGCCGCUGCUGGUUGGGGGCAUCGUCGGGCCAGGGAUGGGAUCCGCAGGACGAGGCCGUCUCCGGCCUCCAAGACCUGCCUUCUUCCCCCAAAAGCUCCGUGCCAACAGAGAGGUUUCCGUCCGGACGCAGGAGGGUGGGGCGGAGAGAUUGAGACUGAGAGUGCAGGCCCAGAAGGCCUUUGCCCCUGCCCAAGGGGAAAGGCAGGGGCAUCCGAGGACCUCCCCCGCCCGCAGCACCGCACACAUGGCCUUGCCUUGGCUUCUGACCUUUCACAGUUGCGAUGGAUGUUUACAAGAACCCAGCCAGAGUCUGCCUCCCUGCUCUUCAUCCCCGACUGCACCUGCUUCUCCCACUUAAUCUUUUGAGAGGAUACUUCAAACCGCGGACACACACGGAAGCCACUCCCAGCUUCAUCUGAUGCCACUGGAGACCCCAGCCCGGUCGGGUUGGGCCCGAGGCUGGCCUUAGAUGCAGUGACUAUUUCAGGGAGUAAGUCAGAAGGAAAAGAAGCCACAGAUCGUGUCAGGGGCUGAGGGUCGGGUGUGACUUACUCCUUUCAAGUUGCUUGUUCUUCAUCAAGUUGCCAGGACUGAUACAUCAUGCCGGGAGAAUGCCACGUUGCUCCUCUGGCCAGAAGUAUUUUUGAAAAUGUGAGUGGUAUGAAUACUUGAGUUGAUAAACCUGUAAAAGCAAUACUUAGGAGGCUGACUUCUUUCAAUUAAAACAUGUAUGCAACUCCAGCCUGUGGGGGCCCUGCCUCUUUUUUUUUUUUUUUUUGGAAGUCUGGGAAAGGAGCCCUUAGGCAGGAUGUCGCAUUCCACAAAAGGUGGAAGAGUCAGGACCUCCCCAGCUUGGGACCCAGCAGGGCUGGGAGAGUUCCCCCCAAGCCAGGCUGGCGGGGGGUCAGGCCAGAAAGGCCAGGGCCAGGCUGUGGGGCGUGGUGGCCAAGGCCUAGUGGCCUUGAUCCCAGAGAUACGGGAGGCUUGGGUGGAGGCUCGGGUAUUCCCUGCGUGCCCACAGCGCAGGGAAUCAGGAAGGGAGGGAGCAGGUGAACGGGUGAAGUUGGGUCGACUUGCAGUUUCAUCAGAAAAUAGCCGUGAUUCUCAUUCUGCACAGUGCCCGAUGCUUCUCAAAGCACCCUCACGUACACCGAGUUACACAAGGCACAAUGUUUGGCUCCGUCGUGUGGGUGAGGACACAGGCGAGGGAGGGUCAAGCCCCCCGCAGAACUCCAGAGAAAAAAAGCCCCAGAAACCCUCGUCUUCCUGUGCUGCUAAGAAAGGGCAUGAAGGGCUGUGAACAGAACACAUCUGAGAGGCCCAGGAAAAGAGUUGGGGUGACCGCCCUUCAACCCAGCUGCCAUGCAAUGAGGAAGCCCAAAUUAGCACACAUGGAGAGGCUCCCCCUCUGUUGUCGGUUCCUUAGAGGAACCAAGGCUCCAGGCCCCCAGCCGGCAUGGAGUCCCCGAGACUUCACGCCGCCCCCACUGACGCAGAGUGGGGCAGAGACCUGCCAUGCCCACCGAGCCCAGCCCACAUGACCGGCCUGGGAGCAGAAUAAAGUCGUUUUAAGUCACUGCAUCUUGGGGGGAGUUUGUGAUGCGUUCGAUAACCGAACAGUGGGCGCCCCAAAACGGUAAUCACGGUAUAAACUCAAACGGUGGACAUGCCCGUGAGAUUUAACAAGCCCUUUAUAAUGUAGUGAAACACAACACAAGAAAUGAAGGCUGAGAGGCCUUCCCCCCUCCAUUAGUGUACUGUCAGCUCUUUCCAGCUAAAGUCCAGUGUGUCUGCACCAGGCCAAGCUUUGGCCUCAACCAGGUUAGUGCAAAAACAGUGAGUCCUGCAGACACAAAGCAGUUGCCACUGAAUCCCUGCCUGUCACAGUUUGGCAAAGGAGCAGGCGGGGCAGGCUGCUGGUGUCCGCAGAGCACCAAGCGUGCCCUAUUAGCAGAGCAGCGUGGAGAAGUGCUUUCUCCCCAGGCCAGCAGGGACCUGGGGACGCAGGGAUGGGGCCGCCCUGCUCCCCCGCUCUGGCCUGGUCACCACUGUCAUGAGCGUCCCGCAGGGCCUGCCUCAGUGCUCCUGGGUGGACUGCAGCGGCCACUGGGCACCCAGCCCAUCUGCCAGGGGUGCCAUCGACCUGGGCCCCGCAGGGGGCCUGGAGCCGGGCCCAGGUCCAUCCGCAGAGCAGGUCCUUCCCGCGGCUGGGUGGGGGCCGACCCUGAGCCGGCAGGGCUGGGCGCCAGGCUGCUUGGCUCAUGGGCCCAAGAACAACUGUGUCCACAGAUAACCAGUUCAAGGUCCAGCGUGGUCAGCGUCCUCAGAGAACAUGCUGUGAGAGGUCAGGAGAAGGCGGGGUCAGAGAGCUUCAGGAGGGGGCCGCUGGACAAAUGGACAGAGCAUUGUCCAGACUGGGGAUGAGAAGGAAUUGGAGGAGGGGGACAUCACAGGCUGGGGAGGCACAGAAGUCGGGGGACAUUUGCACAGAAACAUGUAGAGCAAAUUCCUAUGAAGACCAUGCAGGGCAGGUGGCAGGGGUGGCUGGGGGGACCUCUAGGGAAGUUCUUCCCCAAACUAAGGGCUGUGGAUGCCUGACCAUCCCCCCACCCCCAUCCUUCCCCCACCUCUCCAUGCCUGGCCACAGGCAGGAGGCUCAGGGCCUAGUCCCCAAAGCCUGUAAAGACACCUCCACCAAUCACAGGUGGAGGCCCCAGGUGGUGCAUAGUCUCGAGGUGCUCACCCAGCAGCGCCCCCCGCCCCGCCCCACCCCCAGUUCUCCCUGUCCAAGCCCACCUCGGUUACCUCAUCCCGGGCAUCACGGAGCUCAUCUCAGGCUGAUCCGUGAGUCUAGCUGCUGCAGGUGUUCAUGGACACCAAACGGGAUGGUGGGCAUCCACAUCCUACAACAGGUAUGGCGUGCAGGGGCCAGGUUAGAGGAGAGAAGGGGGCCCCAAUUCUCUCCUACCACCCAGCCUAGACCCUUGGAGACUUCCCACCUGGCAGAACCAGACCAGUGUGGGGUUAUAGGGAUCGCAGAGGCCUAGGAGCCCCAAGACCCCUUUCUUUAGACCUGGUUCUACUACUGACUUGCUUUGUGACCUCCAAAAAGUUAGUUAGCCUCUCUGUGCCUCAUUCUCCUCAUCUGUAAAAUGGGGCUUAUAAAUUCUACCCUAGAAGAUAUGAGGGAUUAUGUAGGUGAAAGUGCCUUGGAAGAAUUUAAAGUACUGAUACCAGACAUCAGACACCAUAGUGAUGGGAUAACACAUAAGUUUGAACCAUAUGAAAUGGCCAAAUUUGCCAGGUCCAAAAUAAUAGAAUAUAAGUGAUUUCAUAUCGUUGACCCUAAUACAUUGAGCAUUUUCAGGUACCAGCCACUGUUCUAAGAUUAAUUUGAACCUCACAAAACUGCUUGGGGGUAAAUAUUACCACUCCCAUUUUACAAAGAAACUGAGGCCAGGGUGGCAAAGUUUGCUCGUCCAAGUUCCCACACUGGUGAGGGUGAGAGCGGGGUUUGAGCUCAAGGCUCACAGGAGCUGCACCCCUGGAAAGCUGGGGGCCCUCCACCCAUAGAGGGCCAAGACUUACGCCAGUGUCUCCACAUGAGGGCACUUUCUCAGGCUGGCAGCUAGCUGCUGGGCCCCAGCAGCCGUGAACUUGUUAUACUGGACGCUGGGGAGAGAAACCCAUCCUGGGGCCUGGCCCUCACUCGGGGCCAUCCAGCCCCCGACCAAGGCCACCCCCGCACUCUCGACAAGCAGCCCUUCCCAGCCUGGCAGCAGGAGACCCCACAGUCCCCCCGAGCCCCAGAGCCCUGCCACCCACUGUCCACACUCACUCCAACACCCGGAGGGACACCAUGUCUGGAAGCACGUGUGCCAGGCUCUCAGCUCCCAUGUCACAGAUGCUGUUAUUGUACAGGCUGCCAGAAACAGAGGUCAGGGCCCAUGGGGAUCCACGUCCAGGCAGAUCCCUGCCCCAUUUUACAGAGGGGCAACCUGAGGCCCAGAGACUCCUGGCCGAGAUUUUCCCAAGUUCAAAUCCCAGCUCCGGGGCUUGUGGCCUGUGUGACCUUUGGCAAGUUACUUAACUCCUCUGUGACUCAGUUUGCUCCUCCAGAAAAUGGGCACGAUAGAGUAAUCGCAGGGAGGAGUAAAUGAGUUCAUGCUGGUACAACACCCAAAACAGAGCCCGGCACGUGAAAUGACUAAAUCCUAGCUGUGGUUAUUACUACCCCCUGGGGCAGGGGAUGAAGGGGGGGGAUGGUGACGGUUAUAUGAGUUACCGUAGAUGGCAUGACCAGCACUGGGGAAUACUAGGGGAGAGAAAAAACCAGAACCACUGGGCCAGCACGGGUUUCUCGGUGUGGUCACAGCUACCGUGAGCAGCAUGGUAAAUAAAGCGAUGGGUGUACACUUGGUAACAAUCAUCCCUUUAACACGCCAGGUGCUCCCGAGGUUCUCAUUUCAAGGCCAUGACUUCGCCAUGACUCAGCUUCGGGGUUACACUGCAGGGCUGCAUGUAAAAGCAGCAGGUCUACACUGCAGCAAAGCAGAUGAAGGUUAACCUCCGGCAUCUCCUGAUGUCACAGGGCCAGAACCAGGCGGAGGCUUUACAAUUCCUUCCUGGGGGCAGGGGGUCUUAGAAUCCAGGGGGCUUCCCCCUCCUCCCACAGACAGAGGAUUCUUCCCAUAUUUCAUCGAUGCCAAGAUGUACAUGUUCACAUCUGAAUAUCAUUGGGAUCCAGAUGUGUCUGAUCAUCAAUGAAUGCCAUGGUUUAAUUAGCAGUGUUUUCUAAAAUGUCAGUCGUAUCAGAUAUUGCCCCCAUUUGCCCCAUAUGCUUCUCCAUUCACAAUGGAAAAACUCCAAAAGCCCUCUCCGGACCUAUGAAGGUCUCCCUGCAUAUUCUGGCCUCCCCUACCUCUCCCACCUCAUUUCCCACCUGCUGUCCCUCAUUCUCUUUAGCCAGCCACAGUGGCCCUCCUGGCAAAGACAGAACUCUUUCCCACCUCAAGGCCUUUGCAUCUUCUGUUCCCUCCUCCUGGAAUGCUUGUUCCUGAGCACCUCCCAUGGAAGGGGGUCUCCUGACCUCCUUGAUGAAUUCAGUACUCCCCAUUGUACCCUCCUGGGCCCUUGUUAGUUUCCUCCCCCGUACAAAUCACUAUUUAAAAAUAUUUUGUUUGUACAUGUGCUUAUCUAUUAGGCAAGAAGCUUGAAAGCAAGGGAAUAUUUGUUUUGUUCAUAGCUGAAUCUCUAGUUCCUAGCACAAGUACUGGCCCAUGGUUGAUAUUAGAGGUAAUUAGAUGCCCUGCACAACUCUGGGGAGUGACAAUCACAUAGACUAUGAUUUGCACAAUACACAACCCAUACAGCUGCACAUGGUGACCCUGGCUGGAACGAUAAACGGUGGAUGCGUCAAUAACUAGAUGAACCAGAUACCAUCUCCCCUGGGAAUGUGGCUCUGGCUGUCCUUGGCAGGGGAUGAAGGCUGAGGAAGGAGUAGGAAAGCCUGGAGAGAGAAGAGAGCUGGCAAGGCUGAGCUGAAGGGCUGGGGCUCUGGUCUGAACUCCCCUCAUCAGUCCUGGGACCACCAGGGAGGCAGGCUGGAAGUCAUCAAAAGCAAAAAGUGCUAUGCCAAGGCCGACCAGAAGGUGGCAGUGCAGGCACUGUGUGAGCUGCAAGAGCCAGCCAAGGCCGCCAAUGCACGCACGGUCAGCUUCUAGAAACCAUCACCACUGCACUCCAGAAAAGGCUCAGUCCUGCCAUCCCCUGGGGAAAGAAGACCAAUAUUUACUGUGCACUAGAGCCAGGCAUUGCGCCAAGCGCUUUCCAUAGGCCACUGGGAUGGUACCCAUUUUCCAAACGAGUAAGCAACUUGCCCGGUUUGUCAGGUGCAUUUCCCCAGGCCCUUGCUAUCCUCUUGUGCGGGGUGGUGGUGUGGCUCUCCACCCUCCCCCAGCCCGCCAGCUUGGUGAGGGGGGCCCGCUCACCUCAGUCUGAGGAGGGACGCAGCCAGGGAGGGCAGGGCCUCGGCGAGCUUGCAGGCGCCCACGUCGGUGAUGCUGUUCUGGGACAAGCUGCAGGGACACAGCGAGGGGAAGGGCUCAGGACCAAACUCUCACGCCCCUCCCCAUCCGUGCCCACCCACUCCGGGGCAGAGCUGGGGAACUUUCACUUCCCCACAGGGUGGCCCGAGCAGCAAACACAUGUCUGUCUACCUCGAGGAGAGUCGUGGGUAACAGGCUGAUUCUUAGUAAAUAGAAAGAUACUGUGCCGCCCUUGGCUGCGUGGGAUGUGGGGGUGAGGAUGAAAAUAGAGAGAGGUCAUGCCCCCCACACCUGUUCUAUGAUUUGAUAUCAUCCUUCUUUUCCCUUUGGACCACAUUUCCCAACUAGAACUGAAUACGUGUUCAUAUUAUUUGUUUAAUGGCAGGUCUGUUAUUUUGGUUACUGUAUCCCUGUACCUACAUCAAUGCCAAGUACAUAGUAGGUGUUCGAUACUUAAGUGGGUGGGAAAAAGACAGGAAGGAAAGGUAGGAGAGGGAGGGACAAAGAAAGGAGUGGUGGGGGCGGAGAGAGGAUCUAGCUUACCCACAGCAUCACCUAGAAUACUAUAAAUUACUGGGCAAGUCUCAAUGUCCUACAGUCAAGGAAAUUCCAAAGUGAACCCUGCUGCCAUCCCGGGCCCAGUUAUGAAGCAGAGCGUGGACAGACUUUGAUGAUCCCCUCCACGUUCAGUAAACAAUCAUGCAGAUCCUCCUACAUCACAUCCAUCCACUUCCCAAAACCCAGGACAGGUGUUUUUUGAGCCCAACGCCGGGUUUGAACUCGCAACCCUGAGAUCAAGACCUGAGCUGAAAUCAAGGGUUGGACGCUCAACUGAUUGAGCCACCCAGGUGCUCCUUUUUUUUUUUUUUUAAAUAAAUAUUUACUAUUUUGAUGAUAAUGUUUUAGUGACACAUCCUAGUCCGUCUCUCGUCUCACACCGCCCAGUGUAACUUCCUCUCCUUAAAUGUUAUUUACGUUCAUCAGUGUGUGCUUCAUAAUCACGGAUUUAUUUGUUUGCUUGUUUACGAGGAGUUCACUGAGGUCAGGGGCUUUGUUUGUUCUGUUUAAAGCUGGGUCUGCGGGUGCCUGGGUGGCUCAGUUGGUUAAGCGACUGCCUUCGGCUCAGGUCAUGAUCCUGGAGUCCCGGGAUCGAGUCCCGCAUCGGGCUCCCUGCUCGGCCGGGAGUCUGCUUCUCCCUCUGACCCUCCUCCCUCUCAUGUACUCGCUCUCUCUCAUUCUCUCUCUCAAAUAAAUAAAAUCGUCAAAAAAAAAAAAAAUCUGGGUCUGCAAGGCCCGGAAUGGUGGCUGCACAUAGUAGGUGCUCCUUUGGUAUUCGCCAAUUAAAUUAACAAAUGAGCGUUUGCGCGUGAUUCAAUCAAGAAACAACUGAAUGGGUGAGUGAACGGAAAAACACAAAAACCCAAUGCAGCAGGAAGGGCAGCUCCAGCACUCACUUGAGAGUCUCCAGGGCCCUCAGCCGAGGGAAGGUGGCUGACAACUGCUCGACACCCUCAUCCCCGAUCUUGUUCUCACUCAGCGAGUCCAGGCUGUGGGUGGAAUCAGACAGAGGGGCCAUCAGCCCACACCCAGGAGGCCAGCCUCCUCCCACCCCCACCCCCACCCCCACCCCCACCUUGGACACACCAUAGGCAAACUUUCCAGAGCAAAUCUGCAUCCCCGGGCGGCUGACCAGUUGGCCAGCCAGGGGACAAGGUUCUGACUCCCCACAGACAUGAAUCAGUUUUUUGUUUGUUUGUUUUCCCUGGGAGCCCUGUGAGCUCUGGCAACUUCCUUAACCCUCUUGGGACCACAACUGUGCAAUGGGCUCCUGCUCCCAGAUGGAACAGCAUGGGAGCCCAGGGAGGGAAAGGAGUUCCAGAGGUCACAAAAGGACUCAACCUUUUUUAUUCUUGGGCAUUCUCUCAUCUGUCCUCCCUUCCCUGCAGUGGGGUCAUCUGGUCCUUCCCACCAACCACACUGAGGAAGCCGCAGGAGAGAGGGAGGGAGGGAGGGUAGGACAGAGAAGGUCGGUCCUCCUGUGUGCACCUUCGCCAGGGGCAGGGUUUGAGGCUAUCAAAACCUGAGGGUGCCCGCGUCCAUACUUACUCCAGAUGCUGAAGUGAGGAAAAGGCCUCGAGGAUCCUCACCAGUUUGGGAAAAGCCUGGGGGCCUAAGACAGAGCCCAGCCUAGGAGGCAAAGAGCAGAGAUGGGGAAACCGAGGCACAGAGGGAUUAACUAAUUCACACAAGGUCUCACAGGCUGGAUCAGCAUUUACACCCGACUUCCAGGGGAAGAAAAAUAAAGACAGUGCAGGGCUCUUUUGUUCUGCUUUUAAAAUAUGGUUAAACGGGACUCAACAUAAAGAACUGUCUUUUAUUCUGAAAUUGUGUCCUUUGGAGUGUUUUUGGCACGAAAAUGUUCAUUCUUUGAUAAAAUUGGUGCCAGCAGGGGCUAUUUUGCUUGUUGGAAUGAACACACUUGAUAAACAUGAAAACAUGGUAACUGCAUAUAGUCCUUCAAAUUUACUCCAAAAUAUUCUCCGUCUUUGCAAUCUCAAAGUCUGGGAACUUCGAGCCUCGAUAAAAGGUCAUGAGAUGGGAGUCCAAUGGCUGACUUAAACCUGGGCCCUACCACGUGGCUCCCAUGGGGCCACGUGGGCAAACCCCUUCAGCUCCGUCUUGGUCUCCUCAGAUUUGGCCCCUGUCUCAUGAGCCUGUUGGAAGGAUUACAGAGUUCGUGCAUCCAGUAUUGACUGCUCGCCCAUGCGAGCCUGUCGCGGACAGGGCCGUGACAGAACAGACAGAAAUCCUGGCCCUCGUUCGUGGAGCUGACAGUCCCGUGGGCAAGACAGAUAAUGAAAGAAAUCGGUAAAUUAUCUGGUGUGGGAGAUAAUCAGUAAUACAGAGAAAAGCACGGUGGCAGGCGAGGUAGAACUGUACUUUCAAACAUGGGAGCAUUUGGCUCCGUGGAAACCAGAAGGAAGGGAGAAAGUAGUGGCGUGGGCCGUGCGGAUAUCUGGGGAAGAGCAUCAUGGGCAGAAGGCGCAGGCAGUGCAAAGGCCCUGGGGCCAGACCCUGCCUAUGAGGUUGGAGUCCAGCAAGGAGACCCCUGGGGCUGGAGUGGAGGGAGCAGGGAAGGCAGUACGGGAGAUGGAGGAGGCCUCUUCAAGGGCUGAAUCAGGACCCUGUCCCCUCGCAGAGCACCUCACGGGUUCUGAGCAACCAAUGAGACUCAUCUCCAGGCCACUGGGGCUUGCGUGGUACCGGGCGCAGUGGCUGGCAGUCACACACCCAAAAUAGUCCUUUCCUUCCUUCCUUCUUCAGAUCUUUCUUGGGGCUUCUAGCCUGCAGGUGGCUAGUCUCCUGGUUCUGGGCCAUUCCACCUCAAUGCUGUUGUUCCCCAGAGCACACUUCCGACCUCCAUCUAGGGGCUUUUUAAGCUGAAAAUAAGUUAAAGCCAGAAGGCGCCCUUGGUGAUUGUUUUCACACAUUUCCUCUUUCCAGCAACAUUUUUAUUUGUGCACAAAUGUGGCACCUUGUCUCUGUUCCAAACCAGAAAUGCUUGCCUUUUUCUGGGGUGCGGGGGAGCAGAGAUCAGGAGGGGCAGGUAACUGGAGGGUGACCAGCUGGGGACCUUGGGCAAGUCACUUAACCUGGCUAGGCCUCGAUGUUCUCAUCUGUAAGAUGGGAAGGUAGUGACUACCUCCCAGAUCAUAUAUAAAUUGCACUGUGUGCACUGCAGGUGUUUAAUAAUUUUUUCCUAAUUGUUAGGAGAUUUUCGAUCCCUAACAAAGAUAGCACACGAAUUUAGCUUCUUCCUUUGUUGGAACAAGAACCAGGCAAGCUUCAGCCCUUCGUUCACCUACUCCAGAGAGUCCCCAUGGCCUCCCCGCCGCCCCACGGGCCACUGAUCACAGCAGGGGGUAAUUGUCCGUUUACACUAGACUUCAGGCUCAUUGAGGACAGUGGCCUCAGUCAGUGGAUUGUGUCUGUCCAAUGAAUGAAUGGGAAGGAGCAUGUUCACCAGUAAAUGGGCCACUUAGCAUCACACCCGAGAAGCUCCAGCCCCAGCCCUGACCAGCCGGGCCCCAGAUGCUGGAAGCUGGUUUCCAAAGGGGCGAAGCAAUAGGAUAAGAAUAAUCUGGGGCAGGGGGUGGGCACCUGGGUGGCUCAGUUUGUUAAGCGACUGACUCCUGAUUUCAGCUCAGGUCAUGAUCUCAGGGUCCUGGGAUUGAGCCUCGUGUCGGGCUCCAAGCUCAGCACAGAGUCUGCUUGUCCCUCUCCCUCUGCUCCUCCUCCCACACACUCUCUCUCUCAAAUAAAUAAAUAAAAUCUUUUAAAAAAAUGAUUUUGGGGACCCCUCUCCAUUCCCAGUGGCUCAGGCCCAGCUAAUAAUGCCGGGUAAGAAACCUCACGGGGACCCGAGACAAUUCACUCCUCUGCUUACGCAAACUCCAGCUUCUUUAGAUCCCGGACAGCAGGGAGCUCUCCAGCUGUGUCUUCCGAGGAAUUCCUUGUCCUAGAGAGAAGGGGCAAUGUUAGUGGGGUGCAGGCUCUUCGCCUGUCCCUGAGCCCCUACAUGAGUGAUUCAGGAUGCCUGCCUCAAAUUCCCGGGGAGGCCUGCCUUCCUUGGAGGCUAUUAUUGUCCCCCGUUAAAAAGAAAUAGAACAGGAUGUUACGAAGGCGUUCUUACGGGUUUCAUGGAAAGCAGAUGCUUACCAAACUCGGCCCAGGCAGCACACGGUAGGUGCUUAAACAGUGGAUGAGGACAGAAUAAGAAACAGCUGUUCUAUAGUCAAGUUUCUCUGCCCUCUGGACCUUAGUGCUUUGCCAUCGAUCACAUGGGGACAGUACUCGUCCUGCCUACCCUGAAAGGUGGCCAUCAGUGACAUUUCUGUUACUAGAUGCAGAAAGCACCUCCUCAACCCUCAGCAGGGAGCUCUCUGUCUGGCUCUAGCUGAGGACAAAUUGGGUUCAUGAUGGCAGGUUUUGAAGGGCACGAGGUGAUGGGUCCUGGAGGCUCUGCCCUGCCUGCUGCAGGAGAUUCUGGGCAGCCUGGGGGAGGGCACGGGAUCUCCCCAAGGAGAGGAGAAGCACCAAUGGUGAACUUUAAUGCUGGGUCCUGCCUGUCCUCAACCUGCAUGGUCUGAGCCACCUCUCAUGCCCUCUCCUCCUCACCUCUGGAUCUGCACGAGGUUGCCGAGGUCUUCCACAUCCUUCGGGGACUUGGCCUUGAAAGGCUCGAUGGUGAACUUCUCCUCCACUGCCCGGAGCAGCUUGGUCUCCCCACGCUGCUGUAGAGACUCCCACAGCCCCACCAUGUCACUCAGCGAAGCCCUGCGGAGGAAGGGCCUCAGACCCAGGCACAAGAGCCGGGCUAGACCAUAAUGGAGGGGCAGCUCCAUGAAGGAACCUCCUAUCUAGUCAGACGCUUUCUGUCCUCAGCUUCAUCCCUACUUCCUCCAGGAAGCCUUCCAUGACCACUCCAGUUCCUAAUGAUCGCUCCCUUUUCUCAGCCCCCCCAGUGGUUUUGUUUCCCUUUUUGCUUUGGCUACCAGGAAGCUCAGCAGUAAAUUCUUGGUUGAACCACUACAAUGGUAUAGGACUUUAUAGCUUGGAUAAAGUAUAUUUGGGGGGAAGGUGGGAGAAAUUUUCUGCAGAUUAGGCUAAAGUGAUCAAACAGAUCACAGAAGGAUUUAAAUGAGCCAAGUUAAGGAAUCAAAGGGGUAGAAUAUGAUCAGAUGCAAGUUCUAGGAAGACUGCUCUGACGGUUGACUAUGAAGUAGAAUGGAAAAGGGAGAUGGGAGGUGGGGAGCUCGAGGGGAGGCUGUGGCUUUAACCAUGACAAAACAGUGGCUUGAUUAGGGGAUGGAGAGAAGAAUACGAAUUUGAGCCCAGAUCAGUCUUAGAUCCUAAAUGUGGCCCAGUGCCUCGCACCUGUCAGACCUUCAAAUAUUGGUUGAAGGGGCGCCUGGGUGGCUCGGUCGGUUAAGCGCUGGACUCUUGGUUUGGGCUCAGGUCAUGAUCUCAGGGUCAUGAGAUCGAGCCCCAUGUCUGGCUCUGCUCAGCGUGGAGUCUGCUUGAGAUUCUUUCCCUCUUCCUCCCCCUCUACCCCUCCUCCCCCACCUCUCUAAAAUAGAAAAAAAAAAAUUUAAUUUAAUUUAAAAAAACCCACAAAUAUUGGUUGAAGACGCUGCCCUUCACUGGCUGUGUGACCCUGGGCAAGCCGCUAUCCCUCUCUGAGCCUGGACGUCCUCAUCUUAAAAAGGAAGGAAUCACUUCCGCCCCCCCCCCCCCCCGGCUGCCAUGCAUACUAAACGAGACCCCACCGCGGUGCUUAGCACCGGGCACAGCGCCAAGACCACGGCGGAAGCCCUCUGCCCUGUCCCCUGCCCCCACCUGAAAUGGGUGACGCAGCUGAGUCCCACGAGGCUCCCCAGCCCAGCGGGGUCAAUGCCAGUGCUACGGAGGUCCAGGGAGAAGUCUUGGCCGGCCGCCGCCAAGGCACUGCACAGCACGUAGGUGUUGGGGGGUGUGAGCCGGGUGCCCAGGAAGGAGAGGCGGGCUGGAAGCCCCUGCACCACGUGCUGCCAGAUCGCGGCGUCCGUGGCCUCAUGCGCACAGUGCAGCAGUUCCAGCAGCCGCCCGGCCCGGAGCGUCCCUGGCUGCAGGCCCUUCAGGUACCUGCUGAGCACCUUCUGCUUCCUGGCCCCCACGGCGGCUGCAGCUGGCCCUGCCAGGGCUCCGAGGCAGUCGGCGUGAGGCUGGAAAAGCAGGCCAGCCAGGAAGCGCGGCACACCCUCCAGCCAGUUGUCAUAGGGCCUCUUCUUCCUCGGGGUCAACGCCAAGUACUGCGGCAGCUCCUUGUCCUUGAUUUCAGUGCUCAGGGCCAGCCACACGGCCCCCAGGAAGCACUGCAGGAGGAAGCUGGAGAAGGCCAGCUCCACGUCCGGGGCGCCCGGGAUGGGCUGCACCAGGCCUUUGGCCACGGCCCAGGCCCUCACGGCGGCCGAUGGGAACUGGCUGUCCUGCAGGGUGCCCCGGUGUCUGCGGCCCAGCUCCCAGGCCAGCCUGGCCAGUCCUGCCAGGGCCUCCGGGGGGCUGUCGCGGGCUGCGGGGCCCAGCAGGCCCACGUAGAGUCCUGUGAGCGUGGAGGGCAGCUCAGCCUUGUCACCCAGCUGUAGGAGGGCCUCGGAGAGCCGGCACACGGCCCGGCACACGGUGGGGCUGUGGCUGAGGCUGAGCAGGAACGGCUGGCCCUGGAGGAGGGCCAGGGCUCGCUCCUGGCAUGCAGUCGCCCCAGCGCGCUCCAAGUAGCGCGUCACGUAGGUCUUGGCCUGCUCGGCUGAGAAGCCGGCCACCUCGAACAGGACGUUGGCCUUGCUCAGGCUCUGGGCCAGGCGGCCCCAGGGCCGGGCCGUGAGCAGCAGGGUGCAGCCUCGAAGCAGCUUCCGCUGGAAGAGUCCGGCCAGCAGCCCGCGGAGGGAGUGGGGCUCUGUGGACACGGGUCCGCCCGCGCUGUGCAGGAGGCCGUCUUGGGCUUCAAGCCCCUCGAAGGCGUCCAGGAUGAGCAGAACCCGGUCGGGCCGCCUCAAGAUGUAUCUGAAGACCUCCUCGUCCACAGGCUGUGGCUGGGGGCCCAGGCAGAAGAGCAGAUCCUGCAGGCGGUAAGUGUCCCCUUUGGCGUGGUCCAAACAGUGGCAGGGGAAGUAGAAGACGAAGUCAUACUGGGGCAACUGGCCGCAGGCCCAGGCCCGGCUCACUUCCCGGGCCCAACGGCUCUUCCCCUGUCCUGCUUUGCCCAGCACGGCGAUCACCUGCGUCUCCCGCGGCCGCCGGCAGUCCCCGGCAGCCCCCAGCACCUCGGCCAGACCCCCGCGGGCCAACUGCCUCUCUGCCCAGUCCGGGGUGGCCAGCUCCCUCUCCUGGUUUUUGCCACUGCUCCUCUCCAGCCGUGCUUUCACCAGCUCCACCUCCACCAGGAUGCCUUCCGGGCCGGCGAGCUCAGCCUGGUACUUGUCCCGUAGGGAGCUGCAGAACUGCUCCACACUCUCUGCAAAGGCCCAAGGGUGGGUGUGUGUGUGCGCGCGCGCGCGUGCUGUGCGGGGAGGGUGCUAGCGCCACCACGAGGCCAGCCCGACCACCAGCUGUGCCAGUCAGUCCCCACCCACUGCCUUCUUUAUUACUGCCUCUCUCAGUUACGCAGACAUUCAUUCAUUCACUCAUUCACUCUCACACCUGUCAUUCACCUGUCUUCUUCCUUGUUUAUCUAUCCGCCCCUUCAUUUACUCACUAACCCCCUUCUGCUUUUGCUCCCUCACUAUAGGAAGGCCAUGGGGUGGGGGGCAGUGUUAAGGUUUAAGAGAGUGGAAUCCAUGUAUCUGGUUAAAAUCCCAGCUCCACCGCUAAUUACUGUGAUAAUUAGUAUCACUGGGAUGCCCCAGGAGUCCCUCAUCUGCAAAAGGGGGAUAACAUUAGGGCUGUUUGUGACAUGCAUGAUUUAAUAUAUCUGCUUAGAAAAGCACGCGGAACGGAGUAAGAUUUAGGAGCUCGGUCAUCCUCUCAUCAUCUCAUCUCCCAUCGCCCCUGUGCCCAGAGUCAGCCCCCUCCUUCAUCCAUCUCUCCCCUCAUUCAUUCCCUUGGGCUGGAAAACAAGGUGCCAACACCUGGUGUGGGCUUAUGAGGGCAGGACCUCAGCACAUGUGACUUGCUCAUAGAAUCAAGUGAGCAAGUGAACGGAUGCAUGAGCAAGACCACCAACAGAGAAGGGCUGAGUACGUGUUGAGUGAGUGAGUGAAAUAGAAGCAGACCCGGGCUUCCACCUCCUGCCCCAGGGCACAGAGAGUCCACCACCACUUACCAGGCCAUUUCAGAGGCUUGCUGGAGACCUCGUGAGCUGCCCGGCUUUGGGUAGGGGACAUCUGGUCCUCUGGAGAUGAAGAAGUUCAGCAUGCACCUGCUUCACCUGUUGACAAAUGAAGAAAUCGGUACAAGUCCGACACAUGGUCUGGAGCAUAGGAAGCUCUCACUCGACUGUUGAGCUCAUUUUACAGAUAUGUUCAUUCAGCGGACAUUUACUGAGGCACUACAGCACGCCCUGUGUUAGAACUUAGUUAAUGAGUCCAGAAGACAAGAGACAAGAUCGCUGUCCUCACAUUGGGAACUAGUCAAAAAGCAAUAAAAAAAAAAAAAAGAAGAAGAAGAAGAAGUCCAGAUGGUGGCAAGCACUAAGGGGCUAGGAGAGACACAAACAAGGUGAAAACCAGCGAGGUGAUCCAUGUGGAAGGGUGGUCAGGGAAGGCCUUCAGGAGGAGGUGACAGGUUAGCCAAGACCUCAAGGAUUCAAAGGAGCCUGCAAUGGGAAGAACUGGGAAAAGGGCAUUCCAGAUAGAACUGCAAGUGCAAGAGCCCCGAGGCUGGAGGCUGGGAAGGGUACGUGAGUUCUAGGAACGGUAGGAAGCCAGUGUGGCUGGAAUGUCCUGGCCCAGGGCAAGCUUGGAAAGGUGGGAAGGACCAGAUCAUAUAGGCCUUGUGUAUAUAUUUUGUAGUCCUUGGAGCUUUUUUUUUUUUUUUUAAGAUUUUAUUAUUUAUUUAUUUAUUUGAGAGAGAGCACAUGAGAGGGGGGAGGGUCAGAGGGAGAAGCAGACUCCCUGCCGAGCAGGGAGCCCGAUGCGGGACUCGAUCCCGGGACUCCAGGAUCAUGACCUGAGCCGAAGGCAGUCGCUUAACCGACUGAGCCACCCAGGCGCCCCUGUAGUCCUUGGAGCUUUAACAGGACAGCAGAAUGAUCUGAUUUGCAUUUAAAAGCUCAUAGGGACUGCCAGUAAGGACAGAUUAAGGAGAAACGGAGACAGAAUAGGAGGCUCAGAGAGGGAUAAGCACUUGCUCAAGGCCAUACAACCCAUAGAUAGCAGACCCAGGACUCAAACCCAGUUCUUGCUGACUCCAGAAUCUAUGGUUAAAGACACCUCCCUCAAAUACAGGGGUGACAACUAAGGAUGAAAGAGAAGCCAGAGCCCAAAUGGCCUUUGGGAAAUGGCAAUCAAGACAGCCAGGGGCAGAGACACACCUGGAGAAUGGCCAUUAGCACCUGGGCUGUCUGCUUCUUCCCUGGGUCACCAGGGAACAGCAGUGAGGGGAGUGAGGGGUAGAACGUCCAAACCCAGGCAGAGCAGACAGGACUUAACAAGGGAAGCCACUGGGAGCCACAGGAGGCUCUGGAGCCAAGGCAGGGCCAGGAGUCAAGCAGGCCGAGGUCAGAUCAGAGAGGGGCUUACUCACGUCUUUU